CACGUAGGCGGAUUGCUAAGUCAGGGGUGAAAUCCUGGAGCUCAACUCCAGAACUGCCUUUGAUACUGGCGAUCUCGAGUCCGGGAGAGGUGAGUGGAACUGCGAGUGUAGAGGUGAAAUCCGUAGAUAUUCGCAAGAACACCAGUGGCGAAGGCGGCUCACUGGCCCGGUACUGACGCUGAGGUGCGAAAGCGUGGGGAGCAAACA
rnacentral:rRNA from 1 species